rnacentral:rRNA from 1 species
GACAGAGGAUGCAAGCGUUAUCCGGAAUGAUUGGGCGUAAAGCGUCUGUAGGUGGCUUUUUAAGUCCGCCGUCAAAUCCCAGGGCUCAACCCUGGACAGGCGGUGGAAACUACCAAGCUGGAGUACGGUAGGGGCAGAGGGAAUUUCCGGUGGAGCGGUGAAAUGCGCAGAUAUCAGGAAGAACACCUAUGGCGAAGGCAGCUCUCUGGGACGGUACUGACGCUGAGACGCGAAAGCGUGGGGAGCGAACAGG